rnacentral:lncRNA from 1 species
CGUGCGCUUGCGGAUCAUUUCCUUAUUGCGUUACCAAAUAUCAACAAGCAUUUCUGGCGCCGUUGCCGGGGAGAAAGACGGUUUGCUGAGAUAACUUUAAGUCUUGCUAUUAUCUUGUAUUAUACUUUUAUACUUUUAUUCUUUUAUCUUUUUAUUUUUUCCAUCUUUAUGGAUAACUCAAAUUCCAUUAUUGAAUUUUUUGCACCUUCGGAGACUAGCCAUAGACCAUGGGAGUCAACAAGUCCUGCCCCUAAUUAUGAUCUGUGUCCGGAGUUGAUUGCAAUAGGUCAAAACUAACCCUUUUCUAUAGCCGAGGUCCUAUCUUUUAAUCAAGAAGAUAAUGCACUUUUAGCUACACCUAGGGAAUCUGUUAAUCUUUCUAUAAAUUCUGGUUUAGACCUAGCCCUACAAGACCAUGUUUUUCUCGAUAUUUUCACAUUGGUCUUAAUCAUAUAACCUUUGGUAGAGUCUUUCUUUCUUUUUCUAUUAGUAAAGGAAGGU